rnacentral:rRNA from 1 species
AGCUAAUAGAUACCCGGGUAGUCCUGGCCCUCAACGUUGCUCGCUCGUUUUACGGAGUAUCGACCCUCUGUGAGACUAAAGCUAAACGCGGUAAGCGAGCCGCCUGGGUAGUACGAUCGCAAGAUUAAAACUCAAAGGAAUAGACGGGGACUCGCACAAGCAGUGGAUUAUGCGGCUUAAUUCGUCGGUAAACGAAGAACCUUACCAAGGUUAGAAACCCAACUGCAUCCGACCUGAAAGGGACGGAGCCUUCGAGGGUGUUGGGCAGGUGAUGCAUGGUCGUCGUCAGUUCGUGGUUUGAACUGUUCCCUUCAGUGGGGUAACGAACGCAACCCCCGUUGUCUGUUGCCUAUAUGGCCAGGCGAGACUGCUCCCUCACGGGAGAGGAAGGUGGGGAUGACGCCAGAUCAGCAUGUCCCUCUGAUACCUU